rnacentral:SRP_RNA from 1 species
GGUCGGGUCCUGCGCAACGUGGCACCCGUGAACCGAGUCAGGGCCUGACGGCAGCAGCUCUCAGCGGAACGCCAGGUGUGCCGCAGUUCGCCUGACCGUC